rnacentral:rRNA from 1 species
CCUACGGGUGGCAGCAGUGGGGAAUAUUGCACAAUGGGGGAAACCCUGAUGCAGCGACGCCGCGUGAGUGAAGAAGUAUUUCGGUAUGUAAAGCUCUAUUAGCAGGGAAGAAAAUGACGGUACCUGAUUAAGAAGCACCGGCUAACUACAUGCCAGCAGCCGCGGUAUUACGGAGGGGGCAAGCGUUAUCCGGAUUUACUGGGUGUAAAGGGAGCGUAGACGGGAGUGCAAGUCUGGAGUGAAAUGCCGGGGCUUAACCCCGGGUCCGCUUUGGAAACUGUGCAGCUAGAGUGCAGGAGAGGUAAGUGGAAUUCCAAGUGUAGCGGUGAAAUGCGUAGAUAUUAGGAGGAACACCAGUGGCGAAGGCGGCUUACUGGACUGUAACUGACGUUGAGGCUCGAAAGCGUGGGGAGCAAACAGGAUUAGAUACCCGAGUAGUC